AGAGUUUGAUCAUGGCUCAGGACGAACGCUGGCGGCGUGCCUAACACAUGCAAGUCGAGCGAUGAAACCCUUCGGGGUGAAUUAGCGGCGGACGGGUGAGUAACACGUGGGUAACCUGCCUCAAAGAGGGGAAUAGCCUCCCGAAAGGGAGAUUAAUACCGCAUAAUAUGUUUUAGUCGCAUGACUGAAACAUCAAAGGAUUUUCUUUUAGAACUUCCACUUUGAGAUGGACCCGCGGCGCAUUAGCUAGUUGGUGAGGUAACGGCUCACCAAGGCAACGAUGCGUAGCCGACCUGAGAGGGUGAUCGGCCACAUUGGAACUGAGACACGGUCCAGACUCCUACGGGAGGCAGCAGUGGGGAAUAUUGCGCAAUGGGGGAAACCCUGACGCAGCAACGCCGCGUGAAUGAUGAAGGCCUUCGGGUUGUAAAGUUCUGUCUUCUGGGACGAUAAUGACGGUACCAGAGGAGGAAGCCACGGCUAACUACGUGCCAGCAGCCGCGGUAAUACGUAGGUGGCAAGCGUUGUCCGGAUUUACUGGGCGUAAAGGAUGCGUAGGCGGACAUUUAAGUCAGAUGUGAAAUACCCGAGCUUAACUUGGGUGCUGCAUUUGAAACUGGGUGUCUAGAGUGCAGGAGAGGUAAGUGGAAUUCCUAGUGUAGCGGUGAAAUGCGUAGAGAUUAGGAAGAACACCAGUGGCGAAGGCGACUUACUGGACUGUAACUGACGCUGAGGCAUGAAAGCGUGGGGAGCAAACAGGAU
rnacentral:rRNA from 1 species